CUGCUGCCUUCCGUAGGAGUCUGGGCCGUGUCUCAGUCCCAAUGUGGCCGGCCAACCUCUCAGUCCGGCUACUGAUCGUCGCCUUGGUGGGCCGUUACCCCGCCAACUAGCUAAUCAGACGCGAGUCCAUCUCAGAGCGAUAAAUCUUUGGCAGUCAGAGCCAUGCGACUCAACUGCAUCAUGCGGUAUUAGCAGCUGUUUCCGACUGUUAUUCCCCACUCCAAGGCAGGUUACU
rnacentral:rRNA from 1 species